rnacentral:rRNA from 1 species
AAAGGCCUACCAAGGCGACGAUCAGUAGCGGGUCUGAGAGGAUGAUCCGCCACACUGGGACUGAGACACGGCCCAGACUCCUACGGGAGGCAGCAGUGGGGAAUUUUGGACAAUGGGCGCAAGCCUGAUCCAGCCAUGCCGCGUGUCUGAAGAAGGCCUUCGGGUUGUAAAGGACUUUUGUUAGGGAAGAAAAAGGAGCGGUUAAUACCCGUUUCUGCUGACGGUACCUAAAGAAUAAGCACCGGCUAACUACGUGCCAGCAGCCGCGGUAAUACGUAGGGUGCGAGCGUUAAUCGGAAUUACUGGGCGUAAAGCGAGCGCAGACGGUUACUUAAGCAGGAUGUGAAAUCCCCGGGCUCAACCUGGGAACUGCGUUCUGAACUGGGUAGCUAGAGUAUGUCAGAGGGGGGUAGAAUUCCACGUGUAGCAGUGAAAUGCGUAGAGAUGUGGAGGAAUACCGAUGGCGAAGGCAGCCCCCUGGGAUAAUACUGACGUUCAUGCUCGAAAGCGUGGGUAGCAAACAGGAUUAGAUACCCUGGUAGUCCACGCCCUAAACGAUGUCGAUUAGCUGUUGGGCAGCUUGACUGCUUAGUAGCGUAGCUAACGCGUGAAAUCGACCGCCUGGGGAGU